CUUUUACGUAGGUAACUGCGG
rnacentral:rRNA from 1 species